GGUUGUGGUUCACCGGUAAAGCGCACGCCUUGUGCGUGUGAGGUGCUGGGUUCGAUCCUCGGCACCA
rnacentral:tRNA from 1 species